CAGAUGCAGCUCUAGAAGCAAUGAUACGAGACAGUUUGGAAAGUUGGAUUAUGAUUGUAUGUAACAAGCCAAAUGAAGUAACGAUUACUGAUUAGCAAGGGUGGAGAAGCUCUGCUGUUCCAGCCUGGCAUUAAUCAUUCUACAAUAUUGGUCCUGUUAGAAGUGCCAAAUAUUGUUUGUGUAUAUGUUAUUUGAUGAUAUUCCUUGAGUGUUUGGGCUCGUGUUAAUAAAAUUAUGUCUGAUUGCCUGUCUUUGAUAGUGUCAUUUAGAUCAAAGUCUUGUUACCUCAAAUUUAGAGAUAAAACUUUGGUAGUAGGUUGUGUCACCCAAAGGGUAGACCUUUAAUCUGAAUAUCAUUUCAGUGCUGUCAUGGUGUGCUAGUUCCCAUAUUUGAUGAAGUUUAGGCUUCAGCUUCUGGACUCUUGUGGAGAACAUUUCGAUACUUCUUACAAAUAGACUUGUUUCAAACUCUUGUACAUGUACAUAUAAAUAAACACUAGCUUGUGUUAUGUUCUUCUGUAUUAUUCCAUACAUCUUAUCUUUGUCAUUGCGUUGCCCCAAAAAGAUCUGUGUUUCUUAUUGUCACAUGCCUACUUUAAAUACUACAUUAUACCAUAGGUCUAUUAAAAUUUGUAUAUGCAGAUGACAACAAAUUCUCUACAUGCGGGUACUUAUUUAAACUCGGCUUGAUUUAGGCGGAAAAAAUCUGUUUUGAUUAGGUGUGGGUUUUCUCUAACAUUGAAACUUGGAGGACAGAAACGGAUUUGGAACUGUUGAUAUCCAAUCAACAUCUGACAUUGUUACGUUAGUAAUAUUAUUGUCAUUUUAAAUUUUAUAUAAAUUUAAUAUAUUAAAUAUUUUUUAAAAUUAUAAUCUUUUCUUUAUAAAAAAUAUAAUUUUAAUAUUUUUAAUUUUAUAAAAAUUAAUAUGAUUUUUUAAUUUAUUAUUUUAUAUAUAUAUAAAUGAAUGCGAGUGCGAGAAAACUCGAAUUUUGUCGUAGACGAGGAUGGGAAUCAAAAUUUUACACUCGAUAGGAAAUGAGUUUUGAAUUUUAUAUAUAUUUAAUGUUUUUUAAAAUUAUAAUAUUCUUUUUAUAAAAAAUAUAAUUUUAUUAUUGUAUAAUAUUAACUAUUUUAAUGUAUUAUAAUUAAUAUUACUUUUAAAUUUAUUAUCUUAUAUAUAUAAAUGGAUGCGGGCGUAUGUAAAGAAAUUCGAAUUUUGUCGCAGACGAAAAUAAAAACCAAAAUUUCACACUAAGAAAUUGGUUGUUCCAUUCCGUUGCAAUGCCUAGUUGUAUAGUUUAAAAAAUAAAUUAACCUGCCUAACCCCUUCCAUAAAAAAAAGAAAAAUUAACUUGCUAUUGGCUAGUAGAUUUUUAUGCUACCUUCGAGUCAAUUUUAGUACUUUUUCUAUAAAAAAAAAAAAAAAUCGAAGUCUUUUAAAAAUUGAGAGAUUUUGGUUUUAUUCUUUCUAGAAUUUUUAGGUUAAUUUAUGAGAAACAAAAAAGUUUAUUGUGUUUAUUUUAAUAAGUUCAUAAGAUGAGAAGUGAUAAAAACAAUUCUUUUAAUAUUUUCAUUAUUUAUAAAAAUAUAGAUAAUUAAAGUAAUCCAAUUAAUUUUUUUAUGAAUAUCUAAAAACUAUUUUGAGAGUUUUUAAUUUAAAAAUCAAGCAAAAUAUUAAUAGAUGAUAGAAAUAUGUAGUCUAUGUGUGUAAAAUAGUUUUACAACCACGUUCAAUGAAAAUAAUGUAUUUUAUUAUGUUACUACACUCCUCAAUAUUAAUUGUAUGAGAUAGAAAAAUAGAUAAACUUUCAUCAAAUGUUAGUGAAAAAUUAAUUUAUAGUUACAGUAUAUAUUUAUUAGGUUUAGUUACAGUUUUAUUUUCUUAUUUUUAAUAAUUUAUGAAAUUAAUUUUUUUAUUUUAAAAAUUAAUAAUUUUGAUUUAUCUAUCUAAUUUUUUAAUUAAAAAAUAACAAUGUGAUAUGAUUUAAAUAACGUGUCAUAUGAUACAAUGAUAUAGAAUGAUUAAUGUUCAUAAAAUUGAAAUAAAAAUACCGUAAAAGUUUAACUUUAAACUUAAAAAAUCAUAUUUGCAAUUUAAUUACUAACAAAUGAAUAAUUAAUGUAUUUAUAUAAUUUUAUAUCAUGAAAUUGUAUCUCAUGUUAUUUAAAAUAUGUCAAAUUACUAUUUUUUUUUUAAUUUAAAAAUCUGAUAGAGGAGUCAAAACUGACCAUCUUUAAAAUAGAAUAAUCAAUUUUAUUAAUUAAUAAAAUUAAAGGAACCAAAACUACCAUUAAAUUUAUUUAUUAAAUGCAUAUUAAUCUAAAGAUACUAAUAUUAUUUUGAAACAAUUUCAUAAAAUAAUACUCUAUGUGUUGAUUCUCUUUUCACAAUUAUACAACAUUAAAUGCAUUCAUAUAAAACAUAACUGAAAUAUUAUUAUUUAAAUUUAAAUAAAAAAUUACAACUAAAAACAAUUUAAUUAAGGAUUUUGAUUGAAUUAAUGUAGUCCAAAAAGAUUUUCAAAUAAAAUUUUUAAUUUUAAUAUUACACACAUAAAUAAAUUUUUAUUUUUAUUUUUCUUAUGUCUUUAUUUUUUAUGUUUUUACGUUUUAUUCUAAAGUUCGUUACUUUUUAGUUGUAACUUUUUUCUCAAUUUUGAAAUAAUUGUAAUAAAAAUAAUAACAAUUUUAAAAUUUAAAAAACAUAUUCUAAUUUUUUUUAAUCAUUCAACCUAAAUAUAAAAAUGAAAAUUAAAUACAAUAAUAUAUAUUAAAUAAAAUAUCUUUUAGAAGUAUAUAUUUUUUAAUCAUUCAACUUCAAUAAUAGACAUUAAUUAAAUAUAUUUUUUUAAUCAUUCAACAUCUAUGUAAAAAUAUAUUCUCUAAUGAUAUAAAAAUGAAAAUAAAAUGUAAUAAUAGACAUUAAAUCAAUAUCUUUUAGAAAUUUUGAUAUUUAUUUACCUCAAUCAAACAAUUUCAGCAAAAUGAAGUAACGAUUACUGAUUAGCAAGGGUGGAGAAGCUCUGCUGUUCCAGCCUGGCAUUAAUCAUUCUACAAUAUUGGUCCUGUUAGAAGUGCCAAAUAUUGUUUGUGUAUAUGUUAUUUGAUGAUAUUCCUUGAGUGUUUGGGCUCGUGUUAAUAAAAUUAUGUCUGAUUGCCUGUCUUUGAUAGUGUCAUUUAGAUCAAAGUCUUGUUACCUCAAAUUUAGAGAUAAAACUUUGGUAGUAGGUUGUGUCACCCAAAGGGUAGACCUUUAAUCUGAAUAUCAUUUCAGUGCUGUCAUGGUGUGCUAGUUCCCAUAUUUGAUGAAGUUUAGGCUUCAGCUUCUGGACUCUUGUGGAGAAACAUUUCGAUACUUCUUACAAAUAGACUUGUUUCAAACUCUUGUACAUGUACAUAUAAAUAAACACUAGCUUGUGUUAUGUUCUUCUGUAUUAUUCCAUACAUCUUAUCUUUGUCAUUGCGUUGCCCCAAAAAGAUCUGUGUUUCUU
rnacentral:lncRNA from 1 species